AGCUUUGCGCAGUGGCAGUAUCGUAGCAAAUGAGGUUAAUCCGAGGAGCGAUUAAUGCUAAUUGAAAACUUUUCCCAAUACCCCGCCAUGAUGACUUGAAAACUACAGCUUCCAGGAUAGCUCAGUCUGUAG